AAAGAUGGUUUGAUGGAAAAAGAUAACCGACUUCGGCCUUUUCUAGGCGACACGAACAGCGCAGCUCUGGUGAGUCAAAAGAAUAGAAAUAUUAGAAAUUAGAACGCUAUUGUCGCUGCAAACCUUGUGACCAACAUCUAGUGGGCAUAACUUAAGUAACAUGUUUUCGAAAUCAAAACAACAGUUCUUGGCAACGUACUUGCGUGUUGUGUUUCAUUGAAACAAUUUGUUUUUCGUAUGCCCUGAAGAUCUCCAGGCAAAAGAUAACAAAAAAUCGCUGUCGUUCCACAGGUGAUUAAUUUUUAUGCAUAUGGAUUACCCAAAAGCGUAAUUGAAUUGCUCCUUACAUUUACAUAGAUUGAAUGCUUUAACCAAUGGCAAGACGGAUGCCGACUAUCUCUGUGCUCCCGGUACUUUUCAACCUGCUGCAACUCGACUCUGUAUGGUGAAACUGUGGAGACAUGUACGAGGAAAGCGCAAGGAUCAAUUAGGACAAUUGCAGUUGUUUAAGAUGAAGAUGAAUCGAAGCCAAACU